UACGAAGGGGGCUAGCGUUGUUCGGAUUUACUGGGCGUAAAGCGCACGUAGGCGGAUUGGUCAGUUAGGGGUGAAAUCCCAGAGCUCAACUCUGGAACUGCCCUUAAUACUGCCAGUCUAGAGUCCGGAAGAGGUAAGUGGAACUCCUAGUGUAGAGGUGGAAUCCGUAGAUAUUAGGAAGAACACCAGUGGCGAAGGCGGCUUACUGGUCCGGUACUGACGCUGAGGUGCGAAAGCGUGGGGAGCAAACAGG
rnacentral:rRNA from 1 species